GGCCUUACCAGAAGCCAACCCCGAGGGCACCUUGAUCUUGAACUUCUACCUGCCAAAACUAGGAUGCAGUGCAAGGUGCCAUCUUCGAAGCAGAGAGCAGCCCUCUCCAGACAACCGAAUAUGUCAGUGCGUUGGACUUGGACUUCUUAGUCUCCAGAAUUAAAUGACCUACUAAAAUGAAAUGAUUCUUAUUUAUUCAUCUUUGAUCCACGGAACUCAGAUUAGUAUUUGGAACAAU